rnacentral:rRNA from 1 species
GACGAACGCUGGCGGCGUGCUUAACACAUGCAAGUCGAACGAAGAGCGAUGGAAGCUUGCUUCUAUCAAUCUUAGUGGCGAACGGGUGAGUAACGCGUAAUCAACCUGCCCUUCAGAGGGGGACAACAGUUGGAAACGACUGCUAAUACCGCAUACGAUCUAAUCUCGGCAUCGAGGAAAGAUGAAAGGUGGCCUCUAUUUAUAAGCUAUCACUGAAGGAGGGGAUUGCGUCUGAUUAGCUAGUUGGAGGGGUAACGGCCCACCAAGGCGAUGAUCAGUAGCCGGUCUGAGAGGAUGAACGGCCACAUUGGGACUGAGACACGGCCCAGACUCCUACGGGAGGCAGCAGUGGGGAAUCUUCCGCAAUGGACGAAAGUCUGACGGAGCAACGCCGCGUGAGUGAUGACGGCCUUCGGGUUGUAAAGCUCUGUUAAUCGGGACGAAAGGCCUUCUUGCGAACAGUUAGAAGGAUUGACGGUACCGGAAUAGAAAGCCAC